UGUCUUAUUUAUUAGAAAAUAAAUCAGCAAAAUAAGUACCAUAAGGGAAAGUUGAAAAGAACUUUGAAGAGAGAGUUCAAGGCCUGUGGGCAGUGUGAGGCCAGUAGCGGCCCCUGCCGCCCCAGGCCCAGAUCUUCUGAGAGUUGGGGUGCUUGGGAAUGCAGCCCAAAGUGGGUGGUAAACUCCAUCUGAGGCUAAAUACCAGCACGAGACCGAUAGUCACCAAGUACUGUAAGGGAAAGUUAAAAAGAACUUUGAAGAAAAUAAAUAUGGGAGACCAGCAGUUAGUGUAAUGGCUAUGUCACUGGACUCCCAUGUAGUCGAUCGCAAUUUGAGUCUCGGACCUGGUGGCUUAAACUCACGCUGGAUAUGUGUGCGUGCAUGUCCAAGAUCCCGAGAGGAGAAUGGAGGAGAAGGGAUUGUGGCAUGGCCAUCCCUCCUGGGGGG
rnacentral:ncRNA from 1 species